UGGGGAAUAUUGGACAAUGGGCGCAAGCCUGAUCCAGCCAUGCCGCGUGAGUGAUGAAGGCCCUAGGGUUGUAAAGCUCUUUCACCGGUGAAGAUAAUGACGGUAACCGGAGAAGAAGCCCCGGCUAACUUCGUGCCAGCAGCCGCGGUAAUACGAAGGGGGCUAGCGUUGUUCGGAUUUACUUGUCGUAAAGCGCACGUAGGCGGACUUUUAAGUCAGGGGUGAAAUCCCGGGGCUCAACCCCGGAACUGCCUUUGAUACUGGAAGUCUUGAGUAUGGUAGAGGUGAGUGGAAUUCAGAGUGUAGAGGUGAAAUUCGUAGAUAUUCGGAGGAACACCAGUGGCGAAGGCGGCUCACUGAACCAUUACUGACGCUGAGGUGCGAAAGAGUGGGGAGCAAACAGG
rnacentral:rRNA from 1 species